UCAAAAACAUGUCCUUUUGUUAAUAAUUUAAGGUCUGACCUGCCCAAUGAAUGUUUAAAUGGCCGCAGUAUUUUGACUGUGCAAAGGUAGCAUAAUCAUUAGUUUUUUAAUUGUAAGCUGGAAUGAAUGGUUUGAUGAGAAAAUAACUGUCUCAAUUUAAUUGUUUUAGAAUUUUAAUUUUAAGUGAAAAAGCUUAAAUUUUUAAGGAAGACGAGAAGACCCUAUAGAGUUUAAUAAUUCUAUAUUAUGAUUGGUUUUAGUUUUAUUUAAAAUUUUAAUAUGGAAUUAUUUUAUUGGGGUGAUAUUAAAAUUUAAUGAACUUUUAAUUUAUUAUAACAUUUUUUUGUGAUUAUUUGAUCCUAACUUUUAGAUUAUAAGAUAAAAUUACCUUAGGGAUAACAGCGUAAUUUUUUUUAAGAGUUCUUAUCGAAAAAAAAGUUUGCGACCUCGAUGU
rnacentral:rRNA from 1 species